rnacentral:rRNA from 1 species
AUUGAACGCUGGCGGCAGGCCUAACACAUGCAAGUCGAACGGGAACAGGAAGCAGCUUGCUGCUUCGCUGACGAGUGGCGGACGGGUGAGUAAUGUCUGGGAAGCUACCUGAUGGAGGGGGAUAACUACUGGAAACGGUAGCUAAUACCGCAUAAUGUCGCAAGACCAAAGAGGGGGACCUGCGGGCCUCUGGCCAUCGGAUGUGCCCAGAUGGGAUUGGCUUGUUGGUGGGGUAACGGCUCACCAAGGCGCCGAUCCCUAGCUGGACUGAGAGGAUGACCAGCAGCACGGGAAAUGAGACACGGUCCCGACCCCUACGGGAGGCAGCAGUGGGGAAUAUUGCACAAUGGGCGCAAGCCUGAUGCAGCCAUGCCGCGUGUAUGAAGAAGGCCUUCGGGUUGUAAAGUACUUUCAGCGGGGAGGAAGGGAGUAAAGUUAACACCUUUGCUCAUGGACGUUACCCGAAGAAGAAGCACCGGCAAACUCCGU